rnacentral:sRNA from 1 species
GUUCUAUCUCAUCUCAUGCCUAACUCCCUUGGGCCAAUUCCUGUAGUUGUCUAUGCUUAUACAUCGUUUGAUGAAAUAACUGACAAAGAUGUGAUUUAAUUAAUAAAUGGAAAAUAGCAUGGAUGUUGGACUAGCAGGAUUUGAAGACAAAAGUGUUCAUUCUAGUUAUUUUUUCUAACUUACUCAACUUUGUUCAAACGAUAUGUCAAUAAACUUCGAAGCAAGAGUACAGAUUUCAAAAAGAAGCAUCAGAUAAUAGCUGAACUUAAUGCUGAAUUCGGUCUUUUGCAGAGGACUGAAGAACUUCUUAAGCAACGUCAUGAAAAUAUUCAACAACAACUGCAAACUAUAGAGGAGAAAAAGGGUAUAUCUGGAUAUAGUUACACCCAAGAAGAGCUAGAAAGAGUAUCUGCACUGAAGAGUGAAGUUGAUGAAAUGAAAGGACGAACAUUGGAUGAUAUGUCUGAAAUGGUGAUGAUACUUU